CCUACGGGAGGCAGCAGUAGGGAAUUUUCGGCAAUGGGGGGAACCCUGACCGAGCCACGCCGCGUGAACGAAGAAGUUAUUCGUAAUGUAAAGUUCUUUUAACAGGGAAGAAAGAGAAAUUUGACGGUACCUGACGAAUAAGCUCCGGCUAACUACGUGCCACCAGCUGCGGUAAUGCGUAGGGAGCGAGCGUUAUCCGGAAUUCUUGGGCGAAAAGGGAGAGAAGAGGGAAUAGAAAGUCUUUGGUAAAAAUGCUGGGCCAAACCCAGUAGGGCAAAAGAAACUGCAAAGCUAGAGUAUGACAGAGGGAAGUGGAACUACAAGUGUAGCGGUGAAAUGCGUAGAGAUAUGGAGGAACACCAGUGGCGAAGGCGGCUUCCUGGGUAGAGACUGACGUUGAGGCACGAAAGCGUGGGGAGCAAACAGGAUUAGAUACCCCAGUAGUC
rnacentral:rRNA from 1 species